GAUGAACGCUGGCGGCGUGCCUAAUACAUGCAAGUCGAGCGAACGGACGAGAAGCUUGCUUCUCUGAUGUUAGCGGCGGACGGGUGAGUAACACGUGGAUAACCUACCUAUAAGACUGGGAUAACUUCGGGAAACCGUAGCUAAUACCGGAUAAUAUUUUGAACCGCAUGGUUCAAAAGUGAAAGACGGUCUUGCUGUCACUUAUCGAUGGAUCCGCGCUGCAUUAGCUAGUUGGUAAGGUAACGGCUUACCAAGGCAACGAUGCAUAGCCGACCUGAGAGGGUGAUCGGCCACACUGGAACUGAGACACGGUCCAGACUCCUACGGGAGGCAGCAGUAGGGAAUCUUCCGCAAUGGGCGAAAGCCUGACGGAGCAACGCCGCGUGAGUGAUGAAGGUCUUCGGAUCGUAAAACUCUGUUAUUAGGGAAGAACAUAUGUGUAAGUAACUGUGCACAUCUUGGCGGUACCUAAUCAGAAAGCCACGGCUAACUACGUG
rnacentral:rRNA from 1 species